UCAAAGGAAUUGACGGGACCCGCGACAAGCGGUGGAUGAUGUGGUUAAUUCGAUGCAACGCGAAAACUUACCCACCUUUGACAUGUACGGAAUCCUUUAGAGAUAGAGGAGUGCUCGAAAGAGAGCCGUAACACAGGUGCUGCAUGGCUGUCGUCAGCUCGUGUCGUGAGAUGUUGGGUUAAGUCCCGCAACGAGCGCAACCCUUGUCAUUAGUUGCUACGAAAGGGGCACUCUAAUGAGACUGCCGGUGACAAACCGGAGGAAGGUGGGGAUGACGUCAAGUCCUCAUGGCCCUUAUAGGUGGGGCUACACACGUCAUACAAUGGCUGGUACAAAGGGUUGCCAACCCGCGAGGGGGAGCCAAUCCCAUAAAGCCAGUCGUAGUCCGGAUCGCAGUCUGCAACUCGACUGCGUGAAGUCGGAAUCGCUAGUAAUCGUGGAUCAGAAUGUCACGGUGAAUACGUUCCCGGGUCUU
rnacentral:rRNA from 1 species